rnacentral:rRNA from 1 species
UACGGGGGGGGCAAGCGUUGUUCGGAAUUACUGGGCGUAAAGGGCUCGUAGGUGGCCAUCUAAGUCAGACGUGAAAUCCCUCAGCUUAACUGGGGAACUGCGUCUGAUACUGGAUGGCUUGAGUUUGGGAGAGGGACGCGGAAUUCCAGGUGUAGCGGUGAAAUGCGUAGAUAUCUGGAGGAACACCGGUGGCGAAGGCGGCGUCCUGGACCAACACUGACACUGAUGAGCGAAAGCCAGGGGAGCAAACGGG